CACAGAGGCCCCCAGGAGCCCUGGGAUGAUCUAAGGGGGGCCAGGAGGGUUUGGGGCCCCCCCAGGUGCUCUGGGAUGCCCUGGGGGGGCAGGAGGAUUUGGGGACCCCCCACAUGCUUUGGGAUGCCCUAGGGGGCUCCAGGAAUGUUUGGGGAUCCCCCAGGUGCUCUGGGAUGCCCUGGGGGGGGCUCCAGGAGGAUUUGGGGGCCCCUCAAGUGCUCUGGGAGGGGCCCAGGAGGAUUUGGGGACCCCCAGGUGCUCUGGGAUGUCCUGGGGGGGCUCCAGGAGGAUUUGGGGACCCCCAGGUGCUCUGGGAUGCCCUGGAGGGGCUCCAGGAGGAUUUGGGGACCCCCCAGGUGCUCUGGGAGGGGAGCAGGAGGAUUUGGGGACUUCCCAGGUGCUCUGGGGUGUCCUAGGUGGGGCCAGGAGGACUUGGGGAACCCCAGGGGCAAUGGGGGAACCCUGGGGUCCCCCUGGUGAUUUGGGGAGGGGGGCAUGUGCCCCCCCGCAACCUUUGCCAGGCUGGUGCCCCCCGAGAUCCAGAGCGUGCGGGACUUCCCGCCGGAGCUGGUGGUGGAGGCAGCGGUGCGCUGCGUCCGUGUGGUGCGCCCGGCACUGGGCGCCCCGCUCAGCACCCUCCUGCCCCCCGGCAUGUCGGCCCGCUUCCGCCUUGCCUCCGACCUGGCCAGUGCCUGCCAGGAGCUGGGCUUCGGCGGCGACGUGGGCUACCAGACCUUCCUGUACAGCUCCGAGCACGACACCCGCCGCCUCCUGCUCUUCCUUGUGGAGAAGCUGCCGCGGGACGAGGCCGGGGGGGGGGCCGAGCCCCCAGGGAAGUCGGGGGCGCUGCUCCGGGCCAUCGGUGCCUGCAUCCGGGACCAACUGGGGACCCCCUGGGUGCCCCCCAAUUGCCGCACCCCCCGCCUCCAGCGCCUGCAGGGUACCAGCUAUCUCCAACCCUUUUCUACCUGCCCCCUGGUUCUGCCCCACAGCGGGGGCCCCCCAGGUAGGGGCUGGG
rnacentral:lncRNA from 1 species